rnacentral:rRNA from 1 species
CACUAUGCUUUGCCCUAAACAUAGAUAGUCUUAUACAACCACUAUCCGCCCGGGAACUACGAGCAGCAGCUUAAAACCCAAAGGACUUGGCGGUGCUUUAGACCCACCUAGAGGAGCCUGUUCUAAAACCGAUAACCCCCGUUCAACCUCACCUUUCCUUGUUCUCCCCGCCUAUAUACCGCCGUCGUCAGCUUACCCUAUGAAGGCCCCUCAGUAAGCACAAUUGGUACCACCCAAAACGUCAGGUCGAGGUGUAGCGUAUGGAAAGGGAAGAAAUGGGCUACAUUCCCUGUUACAGGGAAUUACGGACAAUAUUACUGAAACGUAUAUCUAGAAGGAGGAUUUAGCAGUAAGCAGAAAAUAGAGCGUUCUGCUGAAGCCGGCCCUGAAGCGCGCACACACCGCCCGUCACUCUCCCCAAGCGAAUCUUCACAUCCUAACUUAAAACCUUUCAUCAGCAAAGGGGAGGCAAGUCGUAA